rnacentral:hammerhead_ribozyme from 1 species
AUCCGGCUGAUGAGUUCCGAAUAGGACGAAACAUGUGUCCUGGAU